UGAUGCCUAGUCCCGCCCCCUUCACGUGCAGUUCAGUUAAGUUCUACUUGGAGCAGGGAGCACAUACUCAGCUCUGCUGCUCCAGUUGAGUUAUUACCUCAGGAUGAUUGCAUGUGAGAAGUUUGUGUGCGUGCCUUUCCACCAAGUUUGAAACCCAGACAGCACGAAGCAUCUUGCCGACGUCAAAAUCAGAUCAACAGACAGGGACAUCAGCCUUCUCUUGGGAAUAGGCCAGAUAUGCCAUAACAAGAAAUGGUGUUUUGCCCCUGCGGUUGUGAAGAGGAUGCUGUGGAGGUGGCAGCAUGAACGUGUCACACAGACAUUGGCUAAACUACUCGGCUUCUACACUUGCCCUCAGAGUUCACAUAUGGUGAAGUGCACAGGUGUCCAGUCAGGUUCAGACUGAUGCUGGUAACAAGAGGAAAACAUGCUAAUUGAUGACCUUUCCAGCAUGUCCAACUCAUCAGCAUCAGGGGAGGAGAGUCGGUGAAGGUGGUGCACCAUCCAGGACCAGUCAUGGGCCACCAACACCUCUGCAAAAUCUGCACUUCUUGUGAACCCUCUAGAAGACACUACAACCACAAAACUGCUAAUAAACCAUCACAUACUACAUCA